GAGGGUAUAGCCCAGUGGAAGAGUGCUUGCUUAGCAUGUACAAGAUCCUGGGUACAAUCCCCAGUACCUCCA
rnacentral:tRNA from 1 species